rnacentral:rRNA from 1 species
AUACGUAGGGGGCGAGCGUUGUCCGGAAUGAUUGGGCGUAAAGGGCGCGUAGGCGGCCCGGUAAGUCUGGAGUGAAAGUCCUGUUUUUAAGAUGGGAAUUGCUUUGGAUACUGUCGGGCUUGAGUGCAGGAGAGGUAAGUGGAAUUCCCAGUGUAGCGGUGAAAUGCGUAGAGAUUGGGAGGAACACCAGUGGCGAAGGCGACUUACUGGACUGUAACUGACGCUGAGGCGCGAAAGUGUGGGGAGCAAACAGGAUGAGAUACCCUGGUAGUCCACACUGUAAACGAUGAAUGCUAGGUGUAGGGGGUAUCGACCCCUUCUGUGCCGCAGUCAACACAAUAAGCAUUCCGCCUGGGGAGUACGGCCGCAAGGUUGAAACUCAAAUGAAUUGGCGGGG